rnacentral:rRNA from 1 species
UACGAAGGGGGCUAGCGUUGUUCGGAAUCACUGGGCGUAAAGGGCGCGUAGGCGGCUUUAUAAGUCGGGGGGUGAAAGCCUGUGGCUCAACCACAGAAUUGCCUUCGAUACUGUAGAGCUUGAGACCGGAAGAGGUAAGUGGAACUGCGAGUGUAGAGGUGAAAAUUCGUAGAUAUUCGCAAGAACACCAGUGGCGAAGGCGGCUCACUGGACCGGUUCUGACGCUGAGGCGCGAAAAGCGUGGGGGAGCAAACGGG